rnacentral:lncRNA from 1 species
AUGCUAUCGGUAGCAAACGAGCUCCGUUGCCAUCCAUUUGUUUUCGAUGAUGGAGCCUUCAAAUCGACGAUCGGCACCAUUGAACAUGAUCUAUACCACAUGAAGUGUUUAGAAAUCAAAUUUCAAAUCUUUUCGACAUCAUUUGUCUAAUGAUUAAAGGGUUUCAAAAUUUGUAAUUUUAAUGGUCGAUAUGAGGCGUUUUCUCGUUUAACGGCGUAAAGAUAUUCAAAUCAAUUAAAUUUUUGUUAGAAAUUUUUUUAAACUAUUUAAAAUAAGAUCUAUACUGUAACACACUGGAUCUUUACAAAUUGCGAGGUUCGAGUGUUUGAUCUGUGU